rnacentral:lncRNA from 1 species
CCUCACCAAGCUUCCAGCAGGCAGGUGGAGGAGGGAGACAGACAAUUCCACAACGGAAUCUCACUCUGUCACCCAGGCUGGAGUGCAGUGGCACAAUCUCAGCUCACUGCAACCUCGACCUCCCAGGUACAAGCAAUUCUCCUGCCUCAGCCUCCCAAGUAGCUGGGAUUACAGGAUCCAGCCAUAUUUGGAGUCUGCUCUACACUGGAACAUCUUUUUUUUUUUUUUUUUAGAUGGAGUUUUGCUCUUGUCGCCCCGGCUGGAGUGCAGUGGUGCGACCUCAGCGAUCUCAGCGAUCUCAGCGAUCUCAGCUCACUACAACCUCUGCCUCUUGGAUUCAAGCAGUUCUCCUGCCUCAACCACCUGAGUAGCUGGGAUUACAGGCGCCUGCCACCACGCCUGGCUAAUUUUUGUAUUUUUAGUAGAGAUGGGGUUUCACCAGGUUGGUCAGUCUGGUCUCGAACUCCUGACCUCAGGUGAUCCACCCACCUCGGCCUCCCAAAGUGCUGGGAUUACAGGCGUGAGCCACCAUGCCCAGCCUACACUUGGGCUUCUUAGGCACAAGAUCCAGUAAGCCCUCCCUCCUCCUCCCCACCCCUUUUUUCUUUACACUAGUGUUUUCUGUAAUCCUGCAACAGAAAGAGUCCUAACUGAUAUAUUUGUGACCAUUUCUAAAAUCUCCA